AAAAGGAAAAAAGUAAACAUUUAUUGUCUAUUAAAAUUAGAGAUAAGCAUAUCAAUUGAUGUUGCAAAGGAACUCUUUCACAGGCAACACAUACAGUGUGGUUCCCUUCCUUCAGAACACAGGGGCAUUGUCAUGUAAACUAAAGCAGCCUUCUUAUAACCAUGGAAACAACUCAAGAACCAAGAAAACACAAUGAAAAUGACAGAAAGAAGAGUAAUCCAAAACUGGAAUCACUGAAAGCUGCACAUGUAUGUCUGGUUCAUUGUCAAGAUCCACUGGACCGGCAACAAUCAGCAUAAACAG